rnacentral:rRNA from 1 species
ACGAACGCUGGCGGCGUGCCUAAUCCAUGCAAGUAGCACGCUGAAGGAGGAGCUUGCUCUUCUGGAUGAGUUGCGAACGGGUGAGUAACGCGUAGGUAACCUGCCUGGUAGCGGGGGAUAACUAUUGGAAACGAUAGCUAAUACCGCAUAAUAGUAGAUGUUGCAUGAUAUUUACUUAAAAGGUGCAAUUGCACCACUACCAGAUGGACCUGCGUUGUAUUAGCUAGUUGGUGGGGUAGCGGCUCACCAAGGCGACGAUACAUAGCCGACCUGAGAGGGUGAUCGGCCACACUGGGACUGAGACACGGCCCAGACUCCUACGGGAGGCAGCAGUAGGGAAUCUUCGGCAAUGGACGAAAGUCUGACCGAGCAACGCCGCGUGAGUGAAGAAGGUUUUCGGAUCGUAAAGCUCUGUUGUAAGAGAAGAACGAGUGUGAGAGUGGAAAGUUCACACUGUGACGGUAUCUUACCAGAAAGGGACGGCUAACUACGUG